rnacentral:rRNA from 1 species
UACGGGGGGAGCAAGCGUUGUUCGGAAUUACUGGGCGUAAAGGGCGCGUAGGCGGCCUUCUAAGUCAGACGUGAAAUCCCCAGGCUUAACUUGGGAACUGCGUCUGAUACUGGGAGGCUUGAGUGCGGGAGAGGGAUGUGGAAUUCCAGGUGUAGCGGUGAAAUGCGUAGAUAUUCGCAAGAACACCAGUGGCGAAGGCGGCUCACUGGCCCGAUACUGACGCUGAGGCACGAAAGCGUGGGGAGCAAACAGG